rnacentral:lncRNA from 1 species
CCCAGCUCUGACCUGCCUCAAAUGUUGACACAAUGUCACGUUUCCGACUGCAGUCUUUCAUGUGCAGCCGGAGGCUAAAUACGGCUGCUGGUUCCUGGAAAAAGACGUGCCUGGCACCCUUUCAGCAGAAACCCGAUCCCCAUGCAGGCUUGGCACAACAGCUGAAUAACACGGCAAUAACUCUUUCAGCAGCAUUUCAACCCAUAAAUAGGGCUUCCCGAGCGACUCCUUGAAGUCAGGCGAGGAGGAUACAACGAUUUUUAGAAAAAGCAAAAAUAUAAAGUCAGGGUGUGUGAAGAGCGGGUGCGGGGGGGCAGCGGGUUCAGGCAGAUCAAAGGGUGCCGUGGGGGUGCUGAGCGUGGUUUGGUGAGAGGGAGCCCAGGAUUGCCUCAAAAGGAAAGAAACGCUCCUGAAUUUUUUAAUGUCUCGGUCCCGUUUCAUACCAGCCCUGUGGAGGCAGGGGAAGAGCCUUCCCGGGAGCCAGGGCCUUUCCUAACCCCGGUGAGGACACACAGACACAUAAUUUUAGCUUUUCACCACCUGUUUGGAAAGCUCCUAUAACCGAGUGCUGUGGGACUGGAUGGUUUUUACAGGACUCCAUUUUUCUGAACGUGCCAUGACUUUUGAGGACCACGCAUGGUUGCCCAGCCCCGGGGCUGCCGAGGCCCUGAUUCAGCACGUCCUGCUGCGGCGGGGGAGCAGGGGGAGCUCCGGGUGCCCGGCCGUGACACAGGGAGAGGGCCCUGGUGCUCCGCCUUGGCUUUCAUCUGCAGAGCGUGUAGCUGCAAGUGCGGCGUGUUUACAAAUGCAGGCAUUGCAAGAUCCCUUGAACUGUGUCCUAGUACAAAAGAGGCUUUGAAACGAGAAACACGUUGUCAUGGCAUGUUCCAGGCCAGCAGCACCAGACUGAACCAGAUAAUUGCUGUUUCUGCUUCACCGUGGAAAAAGCAGCAGGCCUCCCAAGAGCCGCUUUCUAAGACGAUGCCCUCGGGAAAGCUGUCACCAGCCUCGUCGAGCAGCGGCUCCUCCGGGCAGCACAGCUGGUCCUGAUCCCUCCGCAGGCCCAUUCCCAUCGGAGCUGCGGCUUUCUCCAGGAGGAGCAGGUAUGGGACCACCAGCACACAGC